rnacentral:rRNA from 1 species
GUGGGGAAUAUUGGACAAUGGGGGGAACCCUGAUCCAGCCAUGCCGCGUGUGUGAAGAAGGCCUUUUGGUUGUAAAGCACUUUAAGCGAGGAGGAGGCUACCGAGAUUAAUACUCUUGGAUAGUGGACGUUACUCGCAGAAUAAGCACCGGCUAACUCUGUGCCAGCAGCCGCGGUAAUACAGAGGGUGCAAGCGUUAAUCGGAUUUACUGGGCGUAAAGCGGGCGUAGGUGGCCAAUUAAGUCAAAUGUGAAAACCCCGAGCUUAACUUGGGAAUUGCAUUCGUUACUGGUGGGCUAGAGUAUGGGAGAGGAUGGUAGAAUUCCAGGUGUAGCGGUGAAAUGCGUAGAGAUCUGGAGGAAUACCGAUGGCGAAGGCAGCCAUCUGGCCUAAUACUGACACUGAGGUGCGAAAGCAUGGGGAGCAAACAGGAGUAGAAACCCCGGUAGUCC